UACGUGGGGUGCACGCGUUAAUCGGACUUACUGGGCGUAAAGCGUGCGCAGGCGGUUCCAUCAAACAGAUGUGAAAUCCCCGGGCACAACCUGGGAACUGCAUUUGUGACUGUGGGGCUAGAGUACGGUAAAUGGGGAAUGAAUUCCGCGUGUAGCAGUGAAAUGCGUAGAUACGCGGAGGAACACCAAUGGCGAAGGCAAUCCCCUGGACCUGUACUGGCGCUCAUGCACGAAAGCGUGGGGAGCAAACAGG
rnacentral:rRNA from 1 species